rnacentral:rRNA from 1 species
CCUACGGGAGGCAGCAGUGGGGGAUAUUGCACAAUGGGGGGAACCCUGAUGCAGCGACGCCGCGUGGGUGAAGAAGCGCCUCGGCGCGUAAAGCCCUGUCAGCAGGGAAGAAAAUGACGGUACCUGAAGAAGAAGCCACGGCGAACUACGUGCCAGCAGCCGCGGGAAGACGUAGGGGGCAAGCGUUAUCCGGAUUUACUGGGUGUAAAGGGAGCGCAGACGGCAGUGCAAGUCUGGAGUGACAGCCCGGGGCCCAACCCCGGAACUGCUCUGGAAACUGUGCGGCGAGCGUACUGGAGGGGCAGGCGGAAUUCCUAGUGUAGCGGUGAAAUGCGUAGAUAUUCGGCGG